AUCUAGCUGAUGAGUCCGGAAUAGGAUGAAAUCUACGUCCUGGAU
rnacentral:hammerhead_ribozyme from 1 species